UCUUAUGGAUGAGCAAAGAAAAUGGUUUCUUGAGAUGGAAUGUAUUUGUGGUGAAGAUGCUGUGAA
rnacentral:pre_miRNA from 1 species